GUCCACUGAACCUUAUCAUUUACAGGAAGGAGAAGUCGUAACAAGGUUUCCGUAGGUGAACCUGCGGAAGGAUCAUUGUCGAGACCUGCACGGCAGACCCGCGAACGCGUUCCACAGCUCACCCGGGAGGACGAAGCGGGCGCGGCCUAUCGCGUCGCCCCGCGUCGGAGACCCGUUCCGUCGGCGCGCCCUCGAGCUCGUCGCACGGCCAAACGAACCCCGGCGCGAAAAGCGUCAAGGAACACUAUAAAAACACCGCUCGCCUCGGGAUGCCCCGUCCGCGGUGCGCUCUCGGGGAUCGGGCGCGUGUCGAAUUCGAAACGACUCUCGGCAACGGAUAUCUUGGCUCUCGCAUCGAUGAAGAACGCAGCAAAAUGCGAUACUUGGUGUGAAUUGCAGAAUCCCGUGAACCAUCGAGUUUUUGAACGCAAGUUGCGCCCGAAGCUACCAUGCUGAGGGCACGUCUGCCUGGGCGUCACGCGCAGCGUCGCCCUCCACCCCCGCCCGCAACGGAACCGUGGGGUGCUGGGCCGGAGAUUGGCCUCCCGUGCGCAUUCGUGCGCGGUCGGCCCAAAUGCGAUUCGGCAUCGACGCGUGCCGCGACGAUUGGUGGUUGAAGACCUCAACUCGCGCGUCGUCGUGCAGGAGCGCGUCGUUCGCCAGGAAUGCUUCGACCCCCUCGGGUGCUCCGCACCUCCGAAGCGACCCCAGGUCAGGCGGGAUCACCCGCUGAGUUUAAGCAUAUCAAUAAGCGGAGGA
rnacentral:rRNA from 1 species